UGUGAACUUACCUAUGUUGCCUCGGCGGGGAAGCUACCCUGGAGCUACCCUGUACCUACCCGCGAGCUACCCUGUAGCUCGCGGGGGAACGUACCCUGUAGCUACCCCGCAGCCUACCCGCCGGCGGACCACUAAACUCUUGUUUCUUAGUGAUAUUCUGAGUGUUUUAAACUAAAUAAUUAAAACUUUCAACAACGGAUCUCUUGGUUCUGGCAUCGAUGAAGAACGCAGCGAAAUGCGAUAAGUAAUGUGAAUUGCAGAAUUCAGUGAAUCAUCGAAUCUUUGAACGCACAUUGCGCCCAUUAGUAUUCUAGUGGGCAUGCCUGUUCGAGCGUCAUUUCAACCCUUAAGCCUCAGCUGCUUAGUGUCGGGGGCCUCGCCUAGCUAUAGACGCCGGGCGACCCCCUAGAAUCAUUGGCGGAGUCGUGGCGACCCCAAGCGUAGUAAUCUUUAUCUCGCUUCAGGUGUGUCGUCGCUGGCGUCCUGCCGUUAAACCCCCUAAUUUUAUAAUGGUUGACCUCGGAUCAGGUAGGAAUACCCGCUGAACUUAAGCAUAUCAAA
rnacentral:rRNA from 1 species